UGCAGGCAUUUUCUAACAAAGUAGUUCUUUCUCUCUCUGUAAUUCCACGAAAGGAGCCUCUAAAUGAGGAAUAAAUGGUGGACGAUAUUAAUGAUGAUGACAACAUCCGAGAGAAGAGAAUGGACACUGUUUUCAAUGAAGAUGGCUUUAUUGCAGUGAAGACAUCCGAAGACAAUAUAAUGAACUCUGGCUAUACACAUACAUGCGACCAUCUCUCAGUCUUUUAUGAAAGAACGGGUUUAGCUCUUCAUUACAGGAACAAAGAGUGCCUUUGCGUGCUGGCGUAAGACAGCAGCUCCUUCUUUCGCUUCCGCGUGCAGAACCCGUGGCAAUAAUUUCCGCCACGUGUGGGGUGCUUUGCGCUCACAGCCACACCCAUGCCGGGUCACACACGGGACGAUGUCGCUGUAUAUUGCUUUGGCUGGGAGCAAAGAAAAGAGCGCAUUCACUUGUGUGGCAACACGGGUUCGCCGGGACGUUGUCGCAUUUAAUAGGUAACACGAGCGCGUCGUACUGAAAGGUCUUCGACCUGAUCACGGCUUUGGUAAUGCACACUCCCUUCGAGACGUCAGAAGCUUUCUUGUUCGGUUUUAUUGUUCCUUUGUCCUCCUCUCUCAUUAUCUCUAUUCACUUUCACAGUAUCUGUCGCUUCUACUUAGUUUACGCCGUUGUGACGUUGCCACUGUUAAUGCACGCCCUGACCCUUUCAAUGACUGUGUUCGAUCCCGGCUUCAUCCCGUGAUUCUCAUUCUUCACUUAAACCGAGACUUUUCGCUCACCGACAAAGCCGUCGACGCCGGCACCGGAUUUUUCCGCGACACGAACUCCUUAACGCUUUCGCGUGAAGAUUUCCAAAGUCUAUUCUCCCUUUGUGUCAGUUGAUAUAUACUGUGAACCACGUGUGGCACAUACGCAUACACCACAGGCCGCAAAUAGCGGGUAUGUGCCACACGUGACUUUCGGGAAGGGUUUCAUUACGCACACGACAGGGAAGUCCCGUUAUUCAUGUCUUGACCUGUGAGUCAUGUUCGUCAUAAACUCGUGCCCUCCCUGCGCCAAUUUUGGUAUAGGCCAACUUAAGGAGACGACCGCUAGAGCGCCGAGACGUAGACGACUAGAUAGAUAUAUAGAUAUAAGUAUGGAUACUUAGAUAGAAACGGUGAAAGUGACGUUGGUUCGCUAAGUAAGGCUUCGCAUUUAAAAAUCUUGACGGCAAUAUUUUGGAGUAUAACAAAGCAAGGCGAGCGUGCGGGGGCGUGCGCAGGGUUCUCCAAUUGCCCCCCCCUCUCCUCCUUGUUGGACGAGUCCCGAAGAAAGCAAGGUUCGCAAUGGUUGCACAAAUUACAAUGAAGCGAUGGCUUGCUGCGCUUUUGGGCACCGGCUUUCCGGGGGUAAAGGUGGGAAAUCAGUUCUUGAAUUCAACUUAGAGUUUCUCAAUGCGGCUUUUUGGGCUAGUUGGUCGUAACACUGCAUGCCUUAACGAUAGGCUAAGAGAACACAAACAGAAGGUAGGUCAAUAUCUGGAUGGUCACAUGUCGGUACAUUGUAAUGUUUGUGGAUGCGAAGCCCUGUUUAAGGAGUGCACCGUUGUGUAUAGGAAUGACGAUAAAAGUGCGAUAGAGAUUGCGGAAGCCGCCCUGAUAGCGAAGGUCGGUAACAGCUGUGCCAGCUGCCCUUCGUUAGCACUGACUGCAAAAGAAUUCGCCUUUCUGGAGCGGCAUGUUUCAAGGUGCGGUGAUGGGGCCUUCUUCUGUGUACGGAUCUACAUAUACCGUUACUUCUGAGAAUAAACAUUCAGUUGAAAGUUA
rnacentral:lncRNA from 1 species